rnacentral:rRNA from 1 species
UACGGGGGGGGCAAGCGUUGUUCGGAAUUACUGGGCGUAAAGGGCUCGUAGGCGGCCAACUAAGCCAGACGUGAAAUCCCUCGGCUUAACCGGGGAACUGCGUCUGAUACUGGAUGGCUAGAGGUUGGGAGAGGGAUGCGGAAUUCCAGGUGUAGCGGUGAAAUGCGUAGAUAUCUGGAGGAAUACCGGUGGCGAAGGCGGCAUCCUGGACCGACAUUGACGCUGAACGGCGAAAGCUAGGGGAGCAAACGGG